CAUAAUCAUUAGUUUUUUAAUUGAAAACUCGUAUGAAUGGUUGAACAAAAGAAUCACUGUCUCUUUUAGCAAUUUGAAUUUAACUUUUAAGUGAAAAGGCUUAAAUAUGUCAAGGGGACGAUAAGACCCUAUAAAGCUUUUAUUAGUAAUUAAAAUUUUUAAAAACUAAGCAAUAAAUAGAAAUCUUAGUUACUCAUUUUGUUGGGGCGACAUAGAUAUAAAUAAAAACAACUGUUAAUUAAUUAAACAAUAAUAAUUGAUCUAUAAUUGAUCCUUAAUAAAGAUUAUAAGACAAAGUUACUUUAGGGAUAACAGCGUUAUUCUUUUUGAGAGUUCUAAUCGAAAAAAGAGUUUGCGACCUCGAUGUUGAAUCAUAAAAUCUCUAUAGUGCAGCAGUUAUAGAAG
rnacentral:rRNA from 1 species